rnacentral:rRNA from 1 species
GACGAACGCUGGCGGCGUGCUUAACACAUGCAAGUCGAACGGAAAGGCCCUGCUUUUGUGGGGUGCUCGAGUGGCGAACGGGUGAGUAACACGUGAGUAACCUGCCCUUGACUUUGGGAUAACUUCAGGAAACUGGGGCUAAUACCGGAUAGGAGCUCCUGCUGCAUGGUGGGGGUUGGAAAGUUUCGGCGGUUGGGGAUGGUCUCGCGGGUUAUCAGCUUGUUGGUGGGGUAGGGGCUUACCAAGGCUUUGACGGGUAGCCGGCCUGAGAGGGUGGCCGGCGACCUUGGGACUGCGAGACGGACCAGAAUCCUACGGGAGGCAGCAGUGGGGAAUAUUGCGCAAUGGGCGGAAGCCUGAUGCAGCAACGCCGCGUGCGGGAUGACGGCCUUCGGGUUGUAAACCGCUUUCGCCUGUGACGAAGCGUGAGUGACGGUAAUGGGUAAAGAAGCACCGGCUAACUACGUG